AAAAUUCAGGCAAUGCAUCUGGCAAUUAAAUUGCUCCCGCCAGUCAUUUCAUUUUAGUGUGUGAACCUAUUUUGGAGAAUUUUGCAAAUAUAAAAUAAUAAUAAUGCCUAAAGCAAAGAAUAUUUCAGGCACUGAUGAUAGCAGUGAUUCCGGGCCGGAGGACAGAAAUCCACCACCAGCAAAAAAAGUAAAAUCCGGUAAAGAGAAAAGCUGGUCUGGAUCCAGUAGUGGUAGUGCAAACCCGAAUGGUCCCUGGACCAUUGAAAAAUUACGCCGUGUUCGAAUAAACGAGUUUAAAGGCCGCAAAAUGGUGGACAUACGAGAGUUUUACGAGAAGGAUGGCGAAAUUUUGCCGGGUAAAAAGGGUAUUUCGUUAUACCCACACCAAUGGAAAAAAUUACUUGAACUUGCACCCGAAGUAAAUAAAGCUUUGGGCGAAUAAUUUAAUCUUACACAAAAGGUAUCGAACACUAUAAAUAUAACACUUGAUACAUAUAUGUCGAAUUAAAUAAUGAACGCGUCGAGUGAAGGUGAACUCAAUCCAAUGUAAUUCUUGGAAUUUUGACAGUUCCGGGAGUUUGAUAUGGAUAUAAAAGUUUGGCCGCAGUCAAUGCAAAUGUCAAUGAUUAUUAACAAAAAUAAGCGUACUUAUAGAUAAGCAGCAAAAUGAACACCUGCUUGAAGUGUUUUUCAUUGUAUCACAUAAUUAGAUUAAGGCAAUUGAAACUUUAAACAUUUUUCGGAAUACACUAAUUUUUAUUAUUUCGUAUUUAGCUCAAUAAACGAAUAAAUUGUGCACGAAAA